GGUCAGCUGACACAUCCCUGCCAAUCUCCGGCAGACCCUCCCUCCCAGACCCUCCCACCUCCUGGACAGCAUCCAUGUUGAAGCUGCCUUCAACAUGGAUGCUGUCCAGGAAGUAGGAGGGUCUGGGAGAGAGGGUCUGCCGGAGAUAGGCAGGGAUGUGUCAGCUG
rnacentral:miRNA from 1 species